AAAUGUGAGGGCGAUCUGGCUGCGACAUCUGUCACCCCAUUGAUCGCCAGGGUUGAUUCGGCUGAUCUGGCUGGCUAGGCGGGUGUCCCCUUCCUCCCUCACCGCUCCAUGUGCGUCCCUCCCGAAGCUGCGCGCUCGGUGGAAGAGGACGACCAUCCCAGAUAGAAGGAGUGUACCGUUCUUCGGUCAAGGGUAUACGAUAGCUGCGCUCCCCUGCUAGAACCUCCAAACAAGCUCAAACCUAUCCAUUCUUAAGGAAAUCAGCCCUGAGUGCUCACUGGAAGGACAGAUCGUGAAGCUGAGGCUCCAAUACUUUGGCCACCUCAUGAGAAGAGAACACUCCCUGG